rnacentral:rRNA from 1 species
GACGAACCGUGCGAACGUUGUUCGGAAUCACUGGGCUUAAAGGGCGCGUAGGCGGGCACGCAAGUCAGGGGUGAAAGCCCACGGCUCAACCGUGGAAGGGCCUUUGAUACUGCGUGCCUGGAGGGAGGUAGGGGCGUGCGGAACUUCCGGUGGAGCGGUGAAAUGCGUAGAUAUGCGGAGGAACACCGAUGGCGAAGGCAAUCCCCUGGACCUGUACUGACGCUCAUGCACGAAAGCGUGGGGAGCAAACAGG